GGGGCGUUAGCUCAGUUGGUAGAGCAGCGGACUCUUAAUCCGUAGGUCCAGAGUUCGAAUCUCUGACGCCCUACCA
rnacentral:tRNA from 1 species